UCAAGCGAACAAGUGCAUGUGGUGGAUGCCUUGGCGAUCACAGGCGAUGAAGGACGCGGUAGCCUGCGAAAAGCUACGGGGAGCUGGCAAACGAGCUUUGAUCCGUAGAUGUCCGAAUGGGGAAACCCACUCCUUUUGGAGUAUCCAUGGCUGAAUACAUAGGCCAUGCGAAGCGAACGCGGUGAACUGAAACAUCUAAGUAACCGCAGGAAAAGAAAUCAACCGAGAUUCCCAAAGUAGUGGCGAGCGAAAUGGGAUGAGCCUUGCACUCUUUAUUUGUAUUGUUAGCCGAACGCUCUGGAAAGUGCGGCCAUAGCAGGUGAUAGCCCUGUAGGCGAAAACAGUAUGAAAGAACUAGGUGUGCGACAAGUAGGGCGGGACACGUGAAAUCCUGUCUGAAGAUGGGGGGACCAUCCUCCAAGGCUAAAUACUCGUGAUCGACCGAUAGUGAACCAGUACCGUGAGGGAAAGGCGAAAAGAACCCCGGGAGGGGAGUGAAAUAGAUCCUGAAACCGCAUGCAUACAAACAGUCGGAGCCUCGUAAGGGGUGACGGCGUACCUUUUGUAUAAUGGGUCAGCGACUUACGUUCAGUAGCAAGCUUAACCGUAUAGGGCAGGCGUAGCGAAAGCGAGUCCGAAUAGGGCGUUCAGUUGCUGGGCGUAGACCCGAAACCAGGUGAUCUAUCCAUGGCCAGGAUGAAGGUGCGGUAACACGUACUGGAGGUCCGAACCCACUAACGUUGAAAAGUUAGGGGAUGAGCUGUGGAUAGGGGUGAAAGGCUAAACAAACCUGGAAAUAGCUGGUUCUCUCCGAAAACUAUUUAGGUAGUGCCUCGUGUCUCACCUUCGGGGGUAGAGCACUGUCAUGGUUGGGGGGUCUAUUGCAGAUUACCCCGCCAUAGCAAACUCCGAAUACCGAAGAGUGCAAUCACGGGAGACAGACAUCGGGUGCUAACGUCCGGUGUCAAGAGGGAAACAACCCAGACCGCCAGCUAAGGUCCCCAAAUAUAGCUAAGUGGGAAACGAAGUGGGAAGGCUAAAACAGUCAGGAGGUUGGCUUAGAAGCAGCCACCCUUUAAAGAAAGCGUAAUAGCUCACUGAUCGAGUCGUCCUGCGCGGAAGAUGUAACGGGGCUAAGCUAUAUACCGAAGCUGCGGAUGCGUGCUUAGCACGCAUGGUAGGAGAGCGUUCCGUAAGCCUGCGAAGGUGCGUUGAAAAGCGUGCUGGAGGUAUCGGAAGUGCGAAUGCUGACAUGAGUAGCGAUAAAGGGGGUGAAAGGCCCCCUCGCCGUAAGCCCAAGGUUUCCUACGCAACGUUCAUCGGCGUAGGGUGAGUCGGCCCCUAAGGCGAGGCAGAAAUGCGUAGCUGAUGGGAAGCAGGUCAAUAUUCCUGCACCAUUGUUAGAUGCGAUGGGGGGACGGAUCGCGGAAGGUUGUCCGGGUGUUGGAAGUCCCGGU
rnacentral:rRNA from 1 species